rnacentral:rRNA from 1 species
AGUGAACGCUGGCGGCGUGCUUAACACAUGCAAGUCGAACGAGAAACGGAUUUAGCUUGGUAAAUUGCAGUCUAAGUGGCGCACGGGUGAGUAAUGUAUAGGUAACAUGCCUUCUACUAGGGGAUAACAGUUGGAAACGACUGCUAAUACCCUAUAUUCCUUAUUAGCACAAGUGUGUAAGGGAAAGAUUCAUUGGUAGAAGAUUGGCCUAUAUUGUAUCAGCUAGUUGGUAGUGUAAUGGACUACCAAGGCUAUGACGCAUAACUGGUUUGAGAGGAUGAUCAGUCACACUGGAACUGAGACACGGUCCAGGCUCCUACGGGAGGCAGCAGUGGGGAAUAUUGCACAAUGGGCGAAAGCCUGAUGCAGCAACGCCGCGUGGAGGAUGACACAUUUCGGUGCGUAAACUCCUUUUAUAUGGGAAGAUAAUGACGGUACCAUAUGAAUAAGCACCGGGCUAACUCCGUG